rnacentral:rRNA from 1 species
CCCUGCCAUUUGUACACACCGCCCGUCGCUACUACCGAUUGAAUGGUUUAGUGAAGACUCGGACUGACGCCUCGUAGCUGGUAACAGCAACGGAGUAUUGGGAACUUGUUUAAACUUGAUCAUUUAGAGGAAGU